rnacentral:piRNA from 1 species
UAUUUAAGCUAAUUAUAAUAUAUUUCCUC